rnacentral:sRNA from 1 species
CACCGCCUGGGGAGUACGACCGCAAGGUUAAAACUCAAAUGAAUUGACGGGGACCCGCACAAGUAGUGGAGCAUGUGGUUUAAUUCGAAGAUACGCGCAGAACCUUACCAACACUUGACAUGUUCGUCGCGACUUUAAGAGAUUAAAGUUUUCGGUUCGGCCGGACGAAACACAGGUGCUGCAUGGCUGUCGUCAGCUCGUGUCGUGAGAUGUUGGGUUAAGUCCCGCAACGAGCGCAACCCUCACUUUUAGUUGCCAUCAUUUAGUUGGGCACUCUGAAAGAACUGCCAGUGAUAAGCUGGAGGAAGGUGGGGAUGACGUCAAGUCCUCAUGGCCCUUACGUGUUGGGCUACACACGUGCUACAAUGGUAUCUACAACAGGAAGCAAAACAGCGAUGUUAAGCAAAUCCUUAAAAGAUACCUCAGUUCGGAUUGCACUCUGCAACUCGAGUGCAUGAAGCUGGAAUUACUAGUAAUCGUGGAUCAGCGUGCCACGGUGAAUGCGUUCCCGGGUCUUGUACACACCGCCCGUCACACCAUGGGAGUUGGUUUUACCUUAAGGCAAGGUUUAAAACCCUUGACCACGGUAUAGUCAGCGACUGGGGUGAAGUCGUAACAAGGUAGCCGUAGGGGAACCUGCGGCUGGAUUACCUCCUUUCUAAGGAUGAAUAAAAAUUAAAUUUUAUUCUAAAUAAUAUACAUAGGUUAAUGUUGACCGUCCUCAUUUCUCUUCUUAAAGUUAGUGUUUCUCUUGCAUGGGGGCCGGUAGCUCAGUUGGUUAGAGCACACCCUUGAUAAGGGUGGGGUCGAAAGUUCGAGUCUUUCUCGGCCCACCAAUUAAAGAUUAAGGGGGAUUAGCUCAGCUGGGAGAGCGCCUGAUUUGCAUUCAGGAGGUCAGCGGUUCGAUCCCGCUAUCCUCCACCAAAACACUUAGUUAUUAAAAUAGUGAAUAAAAAUAAUUAAUAUCAAUAUCUAUAUCCGAACAUUAAUAAUGUUAUUAAUUAAUGUUCAUAAUAAAAAUUUGAUUCAACACAGAAUUUUUUUCUG